ACCCCAGGGCCUGGAGUAACAUCUAUGGGGGGUUAAAGAUGACGUCAUUCAACACAUGAUACUCAUGAGACCUGAGACUUCUCACCAAAGCCCAGGAUCCCAGAGGCAGUAGCCUGAUAUACUCAAAUGGUCAAGAAAAUAUUUGUCUGCCAGAACCCUAAGACAACGUGUGGGAGAUGGAGCCAUAUUCUGGCACCCUAGGCCCUUCCUCUCUCAAACAAAAAUCUUUAGUUAUGUCACUGAAAUACAACAGAAAUUGGUUCCUUGUGUAUCUAGACAUUCGCAAGAUAAGAUCAAGUACCUGAGGACUUUGCCCUGUUCCAUAUAUUUCAUCGAAAGAAGAGGAUCUGACUAUUUUCUCUGCCCUUGCCAAUCAUGACCUUGAACUGCCAGGAAGAUCCCAAGAUAACCACCUAGCUUGAGGCUUUCUGUCAAAGCACAGACACAUUGGUGCCCUUCCCUAAGAGACCAUCCAUUGUGGCCUGUCAGUCCUCUCAACAGUACACAUGACUUGGCCUGUACUCAGAAAGUGGCUGAAUUAAAAAGGGAAACACUAGGGACUUGGAAGGGGGCAGUGAGAUCACGGGAAUGUGGUCCAAGUUUUUGUACAUGUAUGGAAAUGCCCCAUGAGAAUCUUGUUCAAUUAAUAUAGACUGAUAUUUUUAAAUGGCAAAAGAAGAGAUAAGUCCAGAUAAAAUGACACAUUAAAAUAGAGUAAAUUCAGUCGGACUUUGGUGGCACACCCCUUAAGUCCCAGCAAAUGCGAGGCAUGGACAGGUGAAUCUCUGUGAGUUUGUGCCAUCGUGGUCUACACAUGAGUUCCAGGACAGCCUCCAAAACCCUGUCUCGAAAAAUCAAAACAUAACACGUAGAGUAAAUUCUAAUACCCCAAACCAAAGAAGAAGGACUGGAGAUUUAGUUUAAAUUCAGGGAAACAAAAUCUCUAAACCCGGUAUCUGUGAACUAGAGGCCACUCACUGUGUUCAGAUUCACCAAUUCACCACUAUCCAAGUACAAGUAGCUCACUGAUAAGUGAAUCUCAAUAGUCUCCAACCAGCUAACAGCUUCUGAACUGUAAGGACUGGAGUCAGCCUCAGCCAGAGCUGUUAGUGCAGAGGAUUCUGUCAUUGUGAGGUCACAGCAAGAAAUGGACCAAUGGCAGCUCAGCACACCUUGUUGGUUUCUUUACCUUCUGUCACCAAGGACAGGAAAGCUAUUCUGUUCAGUGUGGCAGUAGGAGCCUGAUGACACUGGCUACAUUCAAAUGGCUGUCCCCAAUGUGCCCAAUGAGCCUCUACUUCCUGUAAAGCCACUUUCCUGGGUCCACCAGUUUUCCCAAAUGAUGUCACCUGGUGGGGACUGCGUCCAAACACUUGAUUCUUUGUGGGACAUUGACAUCCAACCUUAACCAGGAUGUGUUUCACUUUUAUAAUGAAACAGAAUCAUAAGAAUGACAAAGGGCCCCGCAACAUUGGCCCUCCCUUGGUUAUGGAUUCUGACAUGCUCAGGGUAGUAGGGGCAUAGUGUUUUGCUUUUCUCUUGGACCUACCACCCUAGGACAAGGAUGUAAUAACUCAGCAUGUCUACACUCAAAAGUUUUCAGGUUAUUUUUCUCUAAAGACUGAUUCCUGGGCUCUAUAGGAUGACUGCAUUGGGAUGUGGUGACAAAAUACUGUGUUCCAUUGCACCCUAGGGCCUGGAACAAACAUCUGUGGGGGUUAAAGAUGACAGCAUUCAUCACAUGGUCUCCAGUAGGCCUGAGACUUCUCACCAAAGCCCAGGAUCCCAGAGGCAGGAGCCUGGCAUGUUCAAAAUGGUCAAGAAAAUACUUGUCUGCAAGAGCCCUAAGACAACCCAUGUGGGAGAUGCAGGCAUAUCCUGGCACCCUAGGUUCUAUGAUGGCUCAACAUACCUCACUCACACACAUGUGUCCCCAAGGACAUGAAGGCUGGUCUGGUCAGUGGGGCAGAAUGGCCCAAGGAGGCUGUUUGCAUUCAGUUAGCUUCUCUAUACCUCCCAUGACCCUCGUCCUCAUUCUAGGUUUGAUUUCUCACAUUUUCCAUAAGUUCAAAAACAGUGAAGUCCAAUGCUAGGGAUCAAUAUUCAAACACAGGAUCAUUCCUUGGACAUUUAACAUCUAAACUUUAAUACACACCCUCUCAAGGUUAAUACUUCUAGGUGGAAUAAUUGAAGUAUCAUAGUCUACAGAUGUUGUCCUUUACUGGUUUAUGGAUUCUGUGUAUCUGCGGCUGUGAUAAAACCUCAUGACAACAAACAAUUUUAGGAAGAUUUAUUCCACUUUCACUUCCCAAAUAUAAGCUAUCACAAGUACAGUGCUGUGAUUAAAGGUGUUUGCUACCAAA